rnacentral:rRNA from 1 species
UACAGAGGUCUCAAGCGUUGUUCGGAUUCAUUGGGCGUAAAGGGUGCGUAGGUGGCGUGGCAAGUCUGAUGUGAAAUCCCGGGGCUCAACCUCGGAACUGCAUUGGAUACUGCCAUGCUUGAGCACUGGAGAGGAGACUGGAAUUUACGGUGUAGCAGUGAAAUGCGUAGAUAUCGUAAGGAAGACCAGUGGCGAAGGCGAGUCUCUGGACAGUUGCUGACACUGAGGCACGAAGGCCAGGGGAGCAAACGGG